AGGGACACAAAAAGAACAAACAUCAGAGUAUUCCCUAGAUUGUAAACAAUACUUUCACAGUUUUUGAAGGUGUCGGAAAUGCAUUUUGCAUCUUAACAUCACCAUGUGCAGAAGUUCUCCCAGGAGGAUAGUGGCCCUCACAGCGAGUUGAUCAUCACUACUGGUCACAACCUCAACAAGACCCUAUGGUCCCAUAGCCCUACAGUGUUGAGAAGACAGCAUCAGCUCACCUUUAACAGCCCACUGCUGAUGAAGGCAGAAAGAACAAACGCCAGAGCGGGCUCGAUGGGGCAGGAUGACUUUGGCCUCAGCAGCAAGAAACCCGUCAGAGAGUCUCCAGGUGUCCUGGAACCUGGCCGGGUCUGAGGAAGACCAGAAAGAAGAGAAGCUUACUCAUUGUGUCUAAAACACAGAAUCAGUAAGUAAGUAAUUUCCAGUUUGCUAAAGCAUUUCAGUGCAACACUUUACAGUAUGCUGUGUGUCAUGAUUACAUAAAGGAAAAAAAGCCAAACUACCAUUACAUAUAACGAAUUCUAAAAGAUACAAAAGACGUUUCUCUCACCAACACUUAGAAGAG
ensembl:lncRNA